rnacentral:rRNA from 1 species
AUUGAACGCUGGCGGCAUGCUUUACACAUGCAAGUCGAACGGUAACAGGCCUUCGGGUGCUGACGAGUGGCGCACGGGUGAGUAAUGCAUCGGAACGUGCCCAGAGGUGGGGGAUAACGCAGCGAAAGCUGUGCUAAUACCGCAUGUGAUCUGAGGAUGAAAGCGGGGGACCAGGCAGCAAUGUUUGGCCUCGCGCCUUUGGAGCGGCCGAUGUCAGAUUAGGUAGUUGGUGGGGUAAAGGCCUACCAAGCCGACGAUCUGUAGCUGGUCUGAGAGGACGACCAGCCACACUGGGACUGAGACACGGCCCAGACUCCUACGGGAGGCAGCAGUGGGGAAUUUUGGACAAUGGGCGCAAGCCUGAUCCAGCAAUGCCGCGUGAGGGAAGAAGGCCUUCGGGUUGUAAACCGCUUUUGUACGGAACGAAAAGGCUCUGGCUAAUACCUGGGGCUGAUGACGGUACCGGAAGAAUAAGCACCGGCUAACUACGUG